rnacentral:rRNA from 1 species
AGUGAACGCUGGCGGUAGGCCUAACACAUGCAAGUCGAACGGCAACACGGAAGGAGCUUGCGCUUACGGGUGGAGAGGGGCGGACGGGUGAGGAGUACAGCGGAAUGUACUUUUGCGGGGGGGAUCACGUGGGGAAGGUUACGCUAACACCGCAAACGACCUAGGGGAAAAAGGAGGAGAUCUUGGGCCCUUGCCCGAUUGAAUGAGCCCAUGUGGGAUUAGCUAGUGGGUGGGGUAACGGCUCACCUAGGCGACGAUCCGUAGCUGGUCUGAGAGGAUGACCAGCCACACUGGAACUGAGACACGGUCCAGACUCCUACGGGAGGCAGCAGUGGGGAAUAUUGCACAAUGGGCGCAAGCCUGAUGCAGCCAUGCCGCGUGUAUGAAGAAGGCCUUCGGGUUGUAAAGUACUUUCAGCGGGGAGGAAGGGAGUAAAGUUAAUACCUUUGCUCAUUGACGUUACCCGCAGAAGAAGCACCGGCUAACUCCGUG